rnacentral:lncRNA from 1 species
GGAACUGGAGGAUAUAUCACCAUCAUCACAGGAAAGCCACUGAUCGGAUAACAACAAGAUCCUCUGAACAAGUACCCUCAAAUUCAACUCGGGGAUCCAAAAUAAAUGGAACCCGCUGAUAAAUACCACGGACAGAACUCCGGCGUGUCAGAAGUAAAUCCAUAAAUCCGACUUAUAAAUAGAACAAACCGAACCAAAGUCACCAUCAAAGAGUCACCAACAGAAUC